rnacentral:rRNA from 1 species
CAAAGAGACGCAAAGUCGCGAGGCGGAGCAAAUCUCAAAAGCCGAUCCCAGUUCGGAUUGCAGGCUGCAACUCGCCUGCAUGAAGUUGGAGUUGCUAGUAAUCGCGGAUCAGAAUGCCGCGGUGAAUGCGUUCCCGGGUCUUGUACACACCGCCCGUCACACCACGGAAGUUGGGGGUGCCCAAAGUUGGCAGGAUAAUAUGUUACCUAAGGCAAAACCGAUGACUGGGGUGAAGUCGUAACAAGGUAUC